AGCCCCAGGAAGAGCAGAAAGGAGCGAGCGUGGAACUGGAAGAAAGUCUGGAACACAACCGCGAAUGCGGUUGCUCCCAGGCCAUUGCUGCCGUCGAGCAAGCUCAGCAGCAUCCCCUGGUGGUGUUUCGGGAAGUUUGUGGCACAGGUGGUCAGAACAGCCGUGACUGCAAAGCCUACAGAGGCGCCGACGAGAAACAUAUAGAAGCUCAUUUGCCAUGCCGGUGGACGAGCAAUCUGGUGAGUGAUGGCGAGCCAGGCCAUGGUGUAGCCGAACAGGUUGAGCAAUGCGGAGACGAACAUGGGAGAUUUUGAGCUCCUGUGAGAACAAGCUGAAGCUGGUGAGCGUGCCUCCGGUGAUUGCUAUCAAGUAGAAGCCCGAGACUGCGACGAUCCAGCGAUUGCUGGCGAUGGAGAAGAGUUCCUUGGCCAUUGCUAGCGCCAUUGCUGCCAGCUUUGUGGACCGCACAAGUCCAUGUGACGCUCUGACUCGAGCCGUCGCUUGCUCUUUGAAAUGGCAAGCUUCUUCAAGCAGAGAGUUUAACAUAAACUUGGCAAUAACGUAGUUUCGUGGCUAA